GACGAACGCUGGCGGCGCGCCUAACACAUGCAAGUCGAGCGAGAACCAGGGCUUCGGCCCUGGGGACAGCGGCGAACGGGUGAGUAACACGUGGAUAACCUGCCCUCGGCACCGGAAUAGCCCGGGGAAACCCGGAUUAAUGCCGGAUGGCCCCACAUCCCUGCGGGGAACGUGGGAAAAGGUAGCUUCGGCCUCUGGCCGAGGAUGGGUCCGCGGUGGAUUAGCUUGUUGGCGGGGUAAAGGCCCACCAAGGCGACGAUCCAUAGCUGGUCUGAGAGGACGAUCAGCCACACUGGGACUGAGACACGGCCCAGACUCCUACGGGAGGCAGCAGUGGGGAAUCUUGCGCAAUGGGCGAAAGCCUGACGCAGCGACGCCGCGUGCGGGAAGAAGGCCUUCGGGUUGUAAACCGCUUUCAGGAGGGACGAAGCCACUCGGGUGAACAGCCCAGAGGGUGACGGUACCUCCAGAAGAAGCCCCGGCUAACUACGUGCCAGCAGCCGCGGUAAUACGUAGGGGGCAAGCGUUGUCCGGAUUCAUUGGGCGUAAAGAGCGUGUAGGCGGCCAGGUAGGUCGGUUGUGAAAACUGGAGGCUCAACCUUCAGAGGUCGACCGAAACCAUCUGGCUAGAGUCCGGGAGAGGAGAGUGGAAUUCCUGGUGUAGCGGUGAAAUGCGCAGAUAUCAGGAAGAACACCCGUGGCGAAAGCGGCUCUCUGGAACGGUACUGACGCUGAGACGCGAAAGCGUGGGGAGCGAACAGGAUUAGAUACCCUGGUAGUCCACGCCGUAAACGAUGGGCGCUAGGUGUGGGAGGUGUCGACUCCUUCCGUGCCGCAGCUAACGCAUUAAGCGCCCCGCCUGGGGAGUACGGCCGCAAGGCUAA
rnacentral:rRNA from 1 species